CUUGGUCAUUUAGAGGAAGUAAAAGUCGUAACAAGGUUUCCGUAGGUGAACCUGCGGAAGGAUCAUUCAUAAUAAAGUGUUUUAUGGCACUUUUUAAAAAUCCAUAUCCACCUUGUGUGCAAUGUUAAGUCUCUCGUUCAAGACAGUUUCGACUGUUCUUGGGCAGGGUCUUUAUAUAUCAACUCUUUCUUAAACCAAUUUGUCUGAAAAAUAUUAUGAAUACUUAAUUCAAAAUACAACUUUCAACAACGGAUCUCUUGGCUCUCGCAUCGAUGAAGAACGCAGCGAAAUGCGAUACGUAAUGUGAAUUGCAGAAUUCAGUGAAUCAUCGAAUCUUUGAACGCAUAUUGCGCUCUCUGGUAUUCCGGAGAGCAUGCUUGUUUGAGUAUCAGUAAACACCUCAAAUCCUCACUUCUUUUUGAAGAGAGGAAUUGGACUUGAGCAAUCCCAACACUUGCAAGAGUGGCGGGUUGCUUGAAAUGCAGGUGCAGCUGGACUUUCCUCUGAGCUAAAAGCAUAUUUAUUUAAUCCCGUCAAACGGAUUAUUACUUUUGCUGCAGCUAACAUAAAGGAGAAUCGUUCUUGUGCUGACUGAUGCAGGAUUCACAGGUUGCUUCGGCGACUUGUAAACUCGAUCUCAAAUCAAGUAAGACUACCCGCUGAACUUAAGCAUAUCAAUAAGCGGAGA
rnacentral:rRNA from 1 species